GACGAACGCUGGCGGCGUGCUUAACACAUGCAAGUCGAGCGGUAAGGCCCUUUCGGGGGUACACGAGCGGCGAACGGGUGAGUAACACGUGGGUGACCUGCCCUUAGCUCUGGGAUAAGCCUGGGAAACUGGGUCUAAUACCGGAUAUGACUCCAUGACGCAUGUUGUGGGGUGGAAAGCCUUGUGCGGCUAGGGAUGGGCCCGCGGCCUAUCAGCUUGUUGGUGGGGUGAUGGCCUACCAGGGCGACGACGGGUAGCCGGCCUGAGAGGGCGACCGGCCACACUGGGACUGAGACACGGCCCAGACUCCUACGGGAGGCAGCAGUGGGGAAUCUUGCGCAAUGGGCGAAAGCCUGACGCAGCGACGCCGCGUGGGGAUGACGGCCUCGUGU
rnacentral:rRNA from 1 species